AUGUCGCUGUGCUGCUGCAGCGCCGGGAGCCGCCGCCUCCUCCUCCCGCGCGUCUUCCUCGGCCAGCGCCGCCAGGCCCGGCGCCCCCUCCUCCACCUUCGCACCACAGCGACCGCCGCCGCCUCGUCCUCCGCUACAUCUCUCUCGACGCAGCAGCAGCGCCAGGUUUCCCUCUACGUGGACGCCCUCCUCUACUGGAACCAGAGGAUGAACCUGACCGCCGUCACCGACGAGUCCGAGGUCAUGACGCGCCACGUGGUUGACUCGCUCGCCGUGCUUCCUCCACUCGAGCGCGCAUACACCUCCCGCGGCGGCGACAUUUCUGGCAUCCGCCUCGUCGAUGUUGGCUCCGGCGCCGGGCUUCCUGGUCUUAUCCUUGCUGUUGCGCGGCCAAGCUGGAAGUUUACGCUGUUGGAGUCGAUGCGGAAGCGGUGCACGUUCUUGGAGCACGCAGUUGAGGUGAUGGAGUUGUCAAAUGUGGAUGUGGUGUGUGACCGAGCUGAGAAUGCUGGCCAAAGUCAUGAUUUCAGAGAGUCAUUUGAUGUAGCAGCUGCAAGAGCUGUCGCAGAACUUAAAAUUUUAGCUGAGUACUGCCUCCCGUUGGUUCGUGUUGGUGGUUUAUUUAUAGCUGCUAAAGGGCACGAUCCUCAUGAAGAAAUAAGAAGUGCAAAAGCCGCAGUCGGUAAAUUGGGUGCCUCCAUGCUAGAUUUGUGCACUGUUGAAUCGAUGGGACCUCAUGGUCAACGAACGGCGGUUGUGUACCUCAAGGAACGCACUACUCCAAAGAAAUACCCUCGGCAACCAGGUACCCCUUCUAAGACACCAUUAUGA
rnacentral:rRNA from 1 species